AGAGUUUGAUCCUGGCUCAGGAUGAACGUUAGCGGCGGGCCUAAUACAUGCAAGUCGAGGGGUAUAGUGGAUUCGUCUGCUAGAGACCGGCGCACGGGUGCGUAACGCGUAUGCAACCUGCCCCUUACACGGGAAUAGCCCUCCGAAAGGAGGAUUAAUACCCGAUGGUACCUUUGGAUGACAUCGUCCGGAGGUUAAAGAUUUUAUCGGUAAGGGAUGGGCAUGCGUCUGAUUAGCUAGUUGGGGGGGUAACGGCCCACCAAGGCGACGAUCAGUAGGGGUUCUGAGAGGAUGAUCCCCCACACCGGUACUGAGACACGGACCGGACUCCUACGGGAGGCAGCAGUAAGGAAUAUUGGUCAAUGGGCGAGAGCCUGAACCAGCCACGCCGCGUGCAGGAAGAAGGCCCUACGGGUUGUAAACUGCUUUUUAUACGGGAAGAAAGUCCCCCUUGCGAGGGGGUGUGACGGUACCGUAGGAAUAAGCAUCGGCUAACUCCGUGCCAGCAGCCGCGGUAAUACGGAGGAUGCAAGCGUUAUCCGGAUUCAUUGGGUUUAAAGGGUGCGUAGGCGGGCUUGUAAGUCAGGGGUGAAAUCCGGCAGCUCAACUGUCGAACUGCCUCUGAUACUGCAGGUCUUGAGUCGACAUGAAGCAGGCGGAAUAUGGCAUGUAGCGGUGAAAUGCAUAGAUAUGCCAUAGAACACCGAUAGCGAAGGCAGCCUGCUAAAGUCGUACUGACGCUGAUGCACGAAAGCGUGGGUAGCGAACAGGAUUGGAUACCCUGGUAGUCCACGCCGUAAACGAUGAUCACUCGCUGCAUGCGAUAGACAGUAUGUGGCCAAGCGAAAGCGUUAAGUGAUCCACCUGGGGAAUACGAUCGCAAGGUUGAAACUCAAAGGAAUUGACGGGGGCCCGCACAAGCGGUGGAGCAUGUGGUUUAAUUCGAUGAUACGCGAGGAACCUUACCGGGGCUUGAAAGGCGUCCGACAGUCCCUGAAAGGGGAUUUUCUUCGGACGGGCGCCUAGGUGCUGCAUGGCUGUCGUCAGCUCGUGCCGUGAGGUGUUGGGUUAAGUCCCGCAACGAGCGCAACCCCUACUGUCAGUUGCUAACAGGUAAUGCUGAGGACUCUGGCGGAACUGCCCGUGCAAACGGAGAGGAAGGCGGGGACGACGUCAAGUCAUCACGGCCCUUAUGUCCCGGGCUACACACGUGCUACAAUGGCGCAUACAGAGGGCAGCCACCACGCGAGUGGGAGCGAAUCCUUAAAGUGCGUCUCAGUUCGGAUCGGAGUCUGCAACUCGACUCCGUGAAGCCGGAAUCGCUAGUAAUCGCGCAUCAGCCAUGGCGCGGUGAAUACGUUCCCGGGCCUUGUACACACCGCCCGUCUAGCCAUGGAAGCCGGAAGCGCCUGAAGUCCGUAACCGCAAGGAGCGGCCCAGGGCGAAAUCGGUAACUGGGGUUAAGUCGGAACAAGGUAGCCGUACCGGAAGGUGCGGCUGG
rnacentral:rRNA from 1 species